rnacentral:rRNA from 1 species
CUAAACUGAGGAAAGUCGGCCGAAACUGAUCGACUCGAGGAACGUAGAGGGAAGCGGAACUCUCGGAGUAGCGGUGAAAUGCGUAGAGACCGAGAGGUACCCCGAUGGUGAAGACAGCUUCCUGGGCGUUUCCUGACGCUGAAGCGCUAAGGCCAGGGGAGCGAAGGGGAUUAGAUACCCCCGUAGUCCUGGCUUCAAACGAUGUGGGCUUGGUGUCGGCUCCCGACAGAGAGUCGUUGCCGGAGCUAACGUGUUAAGCCCACCGCCUGGGGAUUACGUCCGCAAGGAUGAAACUCAAGGGAAUUGACGGGGGCCCACACAACCGGUGGAGCACGUGGUUUAAUUCGAUGAUAAGCGAAGAACCUUACCAGGGCUUGACCUAGCGGUGGUGGGAUCCUGAAAGGGAAACGACCUCAAGCUUUGCUUGAGGAGCC